rnacentral:lncRNA from 1 species
CCCCGGAAAGACGGGCCCCGCCCCGACUCCCUCGGCGAAGAGGCCCCCGCGGCCGGCCGAGCUCCGUGGACUCCGCAGGAGCGGCCCCGCCCCUCACACUACGCCGGGCGGUUCCCUCCGAGCCCCGCCGGGACAGCGUCGACGCUGCACACACCCCAGAGAAGCCAGAGGACGGCGCCUGCACCGGACACAGCGCAACACCGGCACAGCACAGCGUCCACACCACAAGUGAGCCUAGGCAGCUGUGUCUACACUGCAGACGCCGGCCUGAGCGCACGCGUCUUCAUGCAGGCUCAGCAGAGGGGGAAGAACACCUCCCCGAGGGUGGAAGAGCUGUGGCCAGCAGACAGAUGGACGGACAGACGGACACAGGCGAACAGGCAGCGCAGGGGUGAGCCGAGCCGGUCAAAUGGGCCAGGACCCGGCUCCGUGUGCCCUUCACAGUCAGGAUGACAGAACCCCGUGGAAUAUGAAAAAUGCCGGGAGACAGACCCCGGAGGCACAGCCCCUCACCGGGCAGGGAGGCCGCCAGAGGGAAGCGCAGCUCCAGACCACCAGAGCCCCAUCUGAUUAAGGCAUCGAGAUCAAAGCUCAGCAGAGGGCGGCUCAUGAUGGGCAGCUCAAAAAAAUAAACCCACCAAUCAGAGUCCGUGUUCCUGUGACCGGUGGCGGGUUCGGAUGCAGAGGAGGCUUCUCAGUGCGGUUCCUCCUCAUCUCGGAACCUGCCACCCCACUCAAGCCCGACAUAGGCCAGGACAGCCAGGACGGCCGCAGCGAGGGCAACACGAGGCCCGUCGACAUCCUGAGGCCCCCGGGCCUGUCGCCGAGUCCCGGCUUGGGGAGUGUCCCCGGGCCACACUGGUCCUGCUCCCGGCUGUGUGGUCUCCCAGGCGCGUGGCUCCUCCCUCCGGGGCCCAGGCUCUGGUGUGAGCCACUUUUUCCAUAGGAGACGCCCAUACUUGCAGCUCACGCCUUUGUCUGGUGCCCUGGCCUCACACCUAUAGGAAUUGGGUACCUGGGGGCCUCUUCAUCUUUACUUGUCUCAGCUUAGAGAAGCCCAGCUACACUUCCUCCAUGCCUGGAUUCAUGCACGGCCCCACAGGGUGAGGCCUGGACACCCUCACGGGCACUGGGGCUCCACGGAUGCAGAAGGCAGCCUGGCCCGGUAGCUCGGGGGUCUGAGAUGGAGGUGGAGUAAGACAGAGUGACAAAGGCUGCGUCCUGGAGGCAGGCUCGGAGCCUCCCUGAGCUCAGAGAGCCCGCGUGCGCCAGGAAGCCACACCUGCAGGACCCGAGUCGGAACUCAGAGGCUGGUACAGCCGCGGUGCUUGUCCUGUAGAUAAGAAUGGCCUCCUCUGGCGGCCAAAGUUAAUUAAACUGACAAUCUUGAUAAGUUGCACAGUUACCUGCUCGGGGACAAAGAAGAUGGGAGCCUUGUUUGUGGUUUCUUCUUGUUCUUUCCUGUGCCCCACAGUCAUUUUAAAAUUAAAUUAAAUGGCUUAUCUGCACUAACCCAA